rnacentral:rRNA from 1 species
GUCGUCAGUUCGUACUGUGAAGCAUCCUGUUAAGUCAGGCAACGAGCGAGACCCGUGCCCACAGUUGCCAGCAUACCCUCCGGGGUGAUGGGUACUUUGUGGGGACCGCCGCUGCUAAAGCGGAGGAAGGAGCGGGUUACGGUAGGUCAGUAUGCUCCGGAACUCCCGGGCUACACGCGGGCUACAAUGGUCGGGACAAUGGGAAUCGACACUGAAAGGUGAAGACAAUCUCCUAAACCCGAUCGAAGUUCGGAUUGAGGGCUGCAACUCGCCCUCAUGAAGCUGGAAUCCGUAGUAAUCGCGUUUCAACACAGCGCGGUGAAUACGUCCCUGCUCCUUGCACACACCGCCCGUCAAACCAUCUGAGUGAGGUUUGGAUGAGGGUCUUCCUUAUGGGGGAUUCGAAUCUGGGCUUCGCAAGGAGGGUUAAGUCGUAACAAGGUAACC